CCAGACUCCUACGGGAGGCAGCAGUGGGGAAUAUUGCACAAUGGGCGGAAGCCUGAUGCAGCAACGCCGCGUGCGGGAUGACGGCCUUCGGGUUGUAAACCGCUUUCGCCUGUGACGAAGCGUGAGUGACGGUAAUGGGUAAAGAAGCACCGGCUAACUACGUGCCAGCAGCCGCGGUGAUACGUAGGGUGCGAGCGUUGUCCGGAUUUAUUGGGCGUAAAGGGCUCGUAGGUGGUUGAUCGCGUCGGAAGUGUAAUCUUGAGGCUUAACCCUGAGCGUGCUUUCGAUACGGGUUGACUUGAGGAAGGUAGGGGAGAAUGGAAUUCCUGGUGGAGCGGUGGAGUGCGCAGAUACCAGGAGGAACACCAGUGGCGAAGGCGGUUCUCUGGGCCUUUCCUGACGCUGAGGAGCGAAAGCGUGGGGAGCGAACAGGCUUAGAUACCCUGGUAGUCCACGCUGUAAACGGUGGGCACUAGGUGUGGGGUCCAUUCCACGGGUUCCGUGCCGUAGCUAACGCUUUAAGUACCCCGCCUGGGGAGUACGGCCGCAAGGCUAAAACUCAAAGGAAUUGACGGGGGCCCGCACAAG
rnacentral:rRNA from 1 species